CUUAGCGCCUGGUCCUGAGGGGACGGAAUAAACUCAGGAUGACGAGGAGAAACGUGAUCGAAAGAUUCGGCGGAUGCGUUUCCGCACUGGCUGAGUGCGUAUACAGAAAAAAUAUGUGGGUAACUGCAAAACAAAGUUCUG
rnacentral:ncRNA from 1 species